GACGAACGCUGGCGGCGUGCCUAAUACAUGCAAGUAGAACGCUGAAGGAGGAGCUUGCUCUUCUGGAUGAGUUGCGAACGGGUGAGUAACGCGUAGGUAACCUGCCUGGUAGCGGGGGAUAACUAUUGGAAACGAUAGCUAAUACCGCAUAACAGUAGAUGUUGCAUGACAUUUGCUUAAAGGGUGCAAUUGCACCACUACCAGAUGGACCUGCGUUGUAUUAGCUAGUUGGUGGGGUAACGGCUCACCAAGGCGACGAUACAUAGCCGACCUGAGAGGGUGAUCGGCCACACUGGGACUGAGACACGGCCCAGACUCCUACGGGAGGCAGCAGUAGGGAAUCUUCGGCAAUGGACGGAAGUCUGACCGAGCAACGCCGCGUGAGUGAAGAAGGUUUUCGGAUCGUAAAGCUCUGUUGUAAGAGAAGAACGAGUGUGAGAGUGGAAAGUUCACACUGUGACGGUAUCUUACCAGAGAGGGACGGCUAACUACGUG
rnacentral:rRNA from 1 species